rnacentral:rRNA from 1 species
AGAGUUGAUCAUGGCUCAGGAUGAACGCUAGCUACAGGCUAACACAUGCAAGUCGAGGGGCAGCAUGAAGUCAGCUUGCUGACUUGAUGGCGACCGGCGCACGGGUGCGUAACACGUAUCCAAUCUGCCCGUUACCCGGGGAUAGCCUUUCGAAAGAAAGAUUAAUACCCGAUGGUUUCGUGGGUUCGCAUGAGCACACGAAUAAAGAUUCAUCGGUAACGGAUGAGGAUGCGUCCGAUUAGGUAGUAGGCGGGGUAACGGCCCACCUAGCCGACGAUCGGUAGGGGCUCUGAGAGGAGGAUCCCCCACAUUGGAACUGAGACACGGUCCAAACUCCUACGGGAGGCAGCAGUGAGGAAUAUUGGUCAAUGGGCGAGAGCCUGAACCAGCCAAGUAGCGUGAGGGAUGACUGCCCUAUGGGUUGUAAACCUCUUUUGUUUGGGAAUAAAGUGGGCCACGUGUGGCCUUUUGUAUGUACCUUACGAAUAAGCAUCGGCUAAUUCCGUGCCAGCAGCUGC